rnacentral:tRNA from 1 species
GGGCGAUUAGCUCAGCGGGAGAAAAGAGCACUGCCUUCACACGGCAGGGGUCACUGGUUCAAAUCCAGUAUCGCCCACCA